ACGGGUGAGUAACACGUAGGUAACCUACCCUUCAGUGGGGGACAACAGAGGGAAACUUCUGCUAAUACCGCAUACGAUCACGGACUGGGAUGUUCGUGGUGAAAGGAUUUAUUCGCUGAGGGAUGGGCCUGCGGCCUAUCAGGUAGUUGGUGGGGUAAUGGCCUACCAAGCCUGCGACGGGUAGCCGGACUGAGAGGUCGAUCGGCCACACUGGAACUGAGACACGGUCCAGACUCCUACGGGAGGCAGCAGUGGGGAAUAUUGCACAAUGGGGGAAACCCUGAUGCAGCGACGCCGCGUGGAGGAUGACGGCCUUCGGGUUGUAAACUCCUUUUGUCGGGGACAAUGGUGAUGGUACCCGACGAAUAAGCCACGGCUAACUCUGUGCCAGCAGCCGCGGUAAGACAGAGGUGGCGAGCGUUGUUCGGAAUUACUGGGCUUAAAGGGCGCGUAGGCGGUGGUGUAAGUCUAGGGUGGAAUGCUACAGCUCAACUGUAGAGCUGCCUUGGAAACUGCAUUACUUGAGUCGGUGAGGGGGAAGGUGGAAUUCCAGGU
rnacentral:rRNA from 1 species